UGCUCGAGUGGCGAACGGGUGAGUAACACGUGAGUAACCUGCCCUUGACUUUGGGAUAACUUCAGGAAACUGGGGCUAAUACCGGAUAGGAGCUCCUGCUGCAUGGUGGGGGUUUGAAAGUUUCGGCGGUUGGGGAUGGACUCGCGGCUUAUCAGCUUGUUGGUGGGGUAGUGGCUUACCAAGGCUUUGACGGGUAGCCGGCCUGAGAGGGUGACCGGCCACAUUGGGACUGAGAUACGGCCCAG
rnacentral:rRNA from 1 species